GUGCCAGCAGCCGCGGUAAUACGUAGGUGGCAAGCGUUGUCCGGAUUUAUUGGGCGUAAAGCGAGCGCAGGCGGUUUUUUAAGUCUGAUGUGAAAGCCUUCGGCUCAACCGAAGAAGUGCAUCGGAAACUGGGAAACUUGAGUGCAGAAGAGGACAGUGGAACUCCAUGUGUAGCGGUGAAAUGCGUAGAUAUAUGGAAGAACACCAGUGGCGAAGGCGGCUGUCUGGACUGAAACUGACGCUGAGGCUCGAAAGUAUGGGUAGCAAACAGGAUUAGAUACCCUGGUAGUCCAUACCGUAAACGAUGAAUGCUAAGUGUUGGAGGGUUUCCGCCCUUCAGUGGCGCAGAUAACGCAUUAAGCAUUCCGCGUGGAGAGUACGGCCGCAAGNNUGAAUCUCAAAGGAAUUGACGGGGGCCCGCACAAGCGGUGGAGCAGGUGGUUUAAUUCGAAGCUACGCGAAGAACCUUACCAGGUCUUGNCNUACUAUGCAAAUCUAAGAGAUUAGACGUUCCCUUNGGGGACAUGGAUACAGGUGGUGCAUGGUUGUCGUCAGCUCGUGUCGUGAGAUGUUGGGUUAAGUCCCGCAACGAGCGCAACCCUUAUUNUCAGUUGCCAGCNUUAAGUUGGGCACUCUGGUGAGACUGCCGGUGACAAACCGGAGGAAGGUGGGGAUGACGUCAAAUCAUCAUGCCCCUUAUGACCUGGGCUACACACGUGCUACAAUGGAUGGUACAAAGAGUUGCGAACUCGCGAGAGUAAGCUAAUCUNUUAAAGCCAUUCUCAGUUCGGAUUGUAGUCUGCAACUCGCCUCCAUGAAGUCGGAAUCGCUAGUAAUCGCGGAUCAGCAUGCCGCGGUGAAUACGUUCCCGGGCCUUGUACACACCGCCCGU
rnacentral:rRNA from 1 species